CAAUAAUCAAUUGCAGUGCAUUGUUAACCUAUGAAUCUCUUUAAUCAAUGUUCCCAAGAAACACCUUGCUGAAAACUCAGUAGCACAGAGUGACCUUAAAAAAGAGUGCAUUAGCUGCUGACCACAUUAAUUAGUUUGUAUCUAGCUCAGCACUAGUCAAGGUUUGGGUUUUUUUCUACAAUCCACCGGCCACAUACAUUUUAUAUUAAACCUCACUUUUCCUGUGAAUUUGUAGGGGAUGACAUCACACAAUAUUCAGGACUUUUCAUCUCCAGCAGCGAGGGAUUUGCUGGUCGAUACACUCUGUUACAAAAGGUGACUUAUUGAUGCUGCCAGAUGAAAUGCUUGGCUGAUCUUCAGGAUAUCUUUCAGACAAUAUACAUUUACUCACCAAAGGAAAUCCUUCUAUUCAAUCACAGUCUCCAGAGAUGGAUGAGCUGGGUGUGGGUACAGCUUGCUGACAUUACCAAAGUUUUGCUUAUGCUGCAAACUGAUGAUCUUUGAGAACAUUCUCCUAAGAAAACUAAAAAUAUCACUCAUCCUGUGUUUUUAGCUUAAGCAGUGACUUGAUGUUUUUCUCUCUCUACGUUGAUCUUUUUCACUCCCACUGUAUAUACACAUAAAUGCACAAUGAACACUAUCCACAUUUGGACCAUUCCCUCAUCAAGUCUUGUCUAACUGUUCUCUUCAAUGCAUACAAACACUUGUACUUUAAUCCAAGAACCAUAUGUGAUCUUACUCUUUCUAUGCAUUCAGAUGAGUAACUAAAUAGCACUGCCUUCUAUAUCACGAUUCUCUCCCUGGAUAUCUACACCAAGGAAGGGUGAAAGACUGGCAGGACAUAAAAACCUGUACACAUUGAGGAGGUUUUCAAACUAGGUGAUAUGGUAAUCUUUCUCAUCAGUGUCAGCCUUAAAUUCAGAUGAAAGAAAACUGAUGGAUCAGUUCAGUUGUUUCUUCUCAUAAAACUCAUGGCAAUGAACACUAAAAGUGAAGGAAUAAUUUACCUACACAUAUACCCAUUAAACAUAAAUUUAAAGCCAUAAUCUCUAGGCUAGAAUUCUAUCGUCG
rnacentral:lncRNA from 1 species